rnacentral:rRNA from 1 species
CUAUACAUGACUCUGUGCAUAUCAAUAAGCGGAGGAAAAGAGGGCUAUUACCUACGCUUAGGAUGUUAACGAGACUGUCGAUCUCAUCUAUACAUGACUCUGUGCAUAUCAAUAAGCGGAGGAAAAGAAACUAACAAGGAUUCCCUUAGUAACGGCGAGUGAAGCGGGAAGAGCUCAAAUUUGAAAUCUUCAAGGGUUUACCUUGACGAAUUGUAGUUUAAAGAAGUGUUUUCUGUUGGAGUUUCGGUAAAAGUUCUUUGGAAUAGGACAUCAUAGAGGGUGAGAAUCCCGUAUUUGACCAGUUACUUUCCAGCUGUGUGAUACACUUUCAAAGAGUCGGAUUGUUUGGGAAUGCAGUCCAAAAUGGGUGGUAAAUUUCAUCUAAAGCUAAAUAUUGGCGAGAGACCGAUAGCGAACAAGUACCGUGAGGGAAAGAUGAAAAGAACUUUGAAAAGAGAGUUAAACAGUACGUGAAAUUGUCAAAAGGGAAGCGUUUGACACCAGUGUUGUUUUUCCGAAAAUCAAUUACGAAUGUUUUAUUUUUGAGGAGUUAUGACUUCAUCGGCUUGCUCCUUUCUUUAUGAAACUUUCUUAAUGCACUUUUCGGUUAACAAGUCAACAUCAAUUUCUUUUGUUGUAAAAGGGUAUGAGGAAGGUGGCUUUCUUUUCGGAGAAAGUGUUUAUAGCCUUGCGCCUCUGCAAUCGGAGAGAUUGAGGUCUGCAGCGUAGAUCCUUCGGGGUUAGAUACGUUUGUGCUAAGUUAUAGCUUUUCAUAGACAACUUGUUGACUAUGUUUAGUCUUGUAGCUUACUCGCUUACGCUAUUUUACCUACGCUUAGGAUGUUGACGAGACUGUCGAUCUC